rnacentral:rRNA from 1 species
AGAUUGAACGCUGGCGGCAUGCCUUACACAUGCAAGUCGAACGGCAGCACGGGAGCAAUCCUGGUGGCGAGUGGCGAACGGGUGAGUAAUACAUCGGAACGUGCCCAGUAGUGGGGGAUAGCCCGGCGAAAGCCGGAUUAAUACCGCAUACGACCUAUGGGUGAAAGCGGGGGAUCGCAAGACCUCGCGUUAUUGGAGCGGCCGAUGGCAGAUUAGGUUGUUGGUGAGGUAAAAGCUCACCAAGCCGACGAUCUGUAGCUGGUUUGAGAGGACGACCAGCCACACUGGGACUGAGACACGGCCCAGACUCCUACGGGAGCAGCAGUGGGAAUUUUGGACAAUGGGCGCAAGCCUGAUCCAGCCAUGCCGCGUGCGGGAAGAAGGCCUUCGGUUGUAAACCGCUUUUUGUCGAGGAAGAAACGGUCUGAUCAAUACAUCGGACUAAUGACGUACCUAGAAGAAUAAGCACCGACUAACUACGUGACC